CUACGGGGCGCUGCAGUGAGGAAUAUUGCACAAUGGGGGGAAUCCUGAUGCAGCAACGCCGCGUGGAGGAUGACGCAUUUCGGUGUGUAAACUCCUUUUAUAUGUCAAGAAAAUGACGGUAGCAUAUGAAUAAGCACCGGCUAACUCCGUGCCAGCAGCCGCGGUAAUACGGAGGGUGCAAGCGUUACUCGGAAUCACUGGGCGUAAAGGACGCGUAGGCGGGUUGGAAAGUCAGGUGUGAAAUCCUACAGCUUAACUGUAGAACCGCACUUGAAACUUCUAAUCUAGAGUAUGGGAGGGGGAGAUGGAAUUAGUGGUGUAGGGGUAAAAUCCGUAGAUAUCACUAGGAAUACCUAAAGCGAAGGCGAUCUCCUGGAACAUUGCUGACGCUAAGGCGUGAAAGCGUGGGGAGCAAACAGGAUUAGAUACCCCAGUAGUC
rnacentral:rRNA from 1 species